UCAGCGGCGGACGAGGUGAGUAACACGUGUGGUAACCUGUCCUGUAAGACUGGGAUAACUCCGGGAAACCGGGGCUAAUACCGGAUGCUUGAUUGAACCGCAUGGUUCAAUCAUAAAAGGCGGCUUCGGCUGCCGUUUACAGAUGGACCCGCGGCGCAUUAGCUAGUUGGUGAGGUAACGGCUCACCAAGGCGACGAUGCGUAGCCGACCUGAGAGGGUGAUCGGCCACACUGGGACUGAGACACGGCCCAGACUCCUACGGGAGGCAGCAGUAGGGAAUCUUCCGCAAUGGACGAGAGUCUGACGGAGCAACGCCGCGUGAGUGAUGA
rnacentral:rRNA from 1 species